GGUUGGAUUUCUCCUUGACUUGACUCAUUGCUCACAUUCAUGAGGACCAAAUUCUCAACUCACCACAUGGACAAGGACGAAAGGUUCUGCCCCCAUUUGCUCACACACAGCUCAAUAGUUAAGGAAUGUAGGAUCUUCGGUCUGAUCCUUUCAUUCAGUUAUUCACUACUACAGUCUGGCAAAAGGACAUCCACAAGGUGCUUUAUCAAGGAACACAAAGAUUCAGUAAUAAUUCACUUAAUCUUCAAAUGAAUCUUUUUAUGCAUCAA